AUUGAACGCUGGCGGCAGGCCUAACACAUGCAAGUCGAACGAGUGGCGGACGGGUGAGUAAUGUCUGGGAAACUGCCUGAUGGAGGGGGAUAACUACUGGAAACGGUAGCUAAUACCGCAUACCAUCAGAUGUGCCCAGAUGGGAUUAGCUAGUGGGUGGGGUAAUGGCUCACCUAGGCGACGCUCCCUAGCUGGUCUGAGAGGAUGACCAGCCAAACUGGAACGGAGACACGGUCCAGACUCCUACGGGAGGCAGCAGGGGGGAAUAUUGCACAAUGGGGGCAAGCCUGAUGCAGCCAUGCGGCGGGUUUGAAGAAGGCCUUCGGGUUGUAAAGUACUUUCAGCGGGGAGGCGUUACUCGCAGAAGAAGUACCGGCUAACUCCGUGCCAGCAGCCGCGGUAAUAC
rnacentral:rRNA from 1 species